UUGAACUGAAGAGUUUGAUCCUGGCUCAGAUUGAACGCUGGCGGCAUGCCUUACACAUGCAAGUCGAACGGCAGCACGGGCUUCGGCCUGGUGGCGAGUGGCGAACGGGUGAGUAAUACAUCGGAACAUGUCCUGUAGUGGGGGAUAGCCCGGCGAAAGCCGGAUUAAUACCGCAUACGAUCCACGGAUGAAAGCGGGGGACCUUCGGGCCUCGCGCUAUAGGGUUGGCCGAUGGCUGAUUAGCUAGUUGGUGGGGUAAAGGCCUACCAAGGCGACGAUCAGUAGCUGGUCUGAGAGGACGACCAGCCACACUGGGACUGAGACACGGCCCAGACUCCUACGGGAGGCAGCA
rnacentral:rRNA from 1 species